AUAUCAAUCAUGUGGGGUCUUGUUAAAAUGCAGAUUCUGAUUCAGUAGGUCUGGAGUGAGGCCUGAGAGUCUGCAUUUCUAACAAGCUCUCAGGGGAUACUGUU
rnacentral:pre_miRNA from 1 species